CUACGGGGGGCAGCAGUGGGGAAUAUUGGACAAUGGGCGAAAGCCUGAUCCAGCCAUGCCGCGUGUGUGAAGAAGGCCUUCGGGUUGUAAAGCACUUUCAGUGGGGAAGAAAGCCUUGGGGCUAAUACCCUCGAGGAAGGACAUCACCCACAGAAGAAGCACCGGCUAACUCCGUGCCAGCAGCCGCGGUAAUACGGAGGGUGCGAGCGUUAAUCGGAAUUACUGGGCGUAAAGCGCGCGUAGGCGGUCUGAUAAGCCGGUUGUGAAAGCCCCGGGCUCAACCUGGGAACGGCAUUCGGAACUGUCAGGCUAGAGUGCAGGAGAGGAAGGUAGAAUUCCCGGUGUAGCGGUGAAAUGCGUAGAGAUCGGGAGGAAUACCAGUGGCGAAGGCGGCCUUCUGGACUGACACUGACGCUGAGGUGCGAAAGCGUGGGUAGCAAACAGGAUUAGAUACCCGGGUAGUC
rnacentral:rRNA from 1 species